GGAUCAUCUGCUGUGGGUGUUCCUGAUCUUUGAGCCAUGAUAAUGUUACUGGUUGGAUGUCAGGAGCAGGCCAUGUGGAUGAUUAAAAGAUGAAUAUCAUAUACAGCAUGGAUAUGUUGGACAAAAAGAUGAUUCACAUCCCAGACAGAAUGGAGCAGCACAUUUAUUAAAAGCCAGAAGCUAGAAGACGAGGAAAGAAGAGGUGGUUAAAGAAAGAUACAGUAACAGCAGUAAUAUCUAACAGGAAGGCUACAGGGGAAAAUACAGAAAUUCCAUAAAGAACAAACACUGUAACUCAAAACCAAAGCUUUGCUAGUCACUAGUGCCCGCUACAUCCUAACAGAGUUGUUAUGUAAAACCUCCCAGCGAAAGAAAUAGUCCAGAAAGCUUGAAGAGAAACUGAAAUUUGAAAAAUCUACCUAAAAAGGUGAUAAAGGAUUUUCAGUUUUGCAAAAAACGCAAUACAGAGUGUCUUUGGAAAGAAAGUUCUCAUAUGGAUUUAAAAUAUGAUUCAAUUUACAGAAGUCAGAGUUGUUCUUCCAGAUGGCAUGAAUCCAACAGUGAAGAAAUCAGAAUACGUUGCUUUUGUGAGGGGCAGCUGCUGAUUUUCUCUGAGCUCCGUUUCCAGCCUUCACAUGCUCUGCUAUUCAUCACAGGGUAAAUUCUGACUAUAGGAGGUACUGACAGAAGAUUAGGGAAGAACAGAGGGCUAAAUGUUUAUUGACUUCUUGAAAAAUGCUAUGUGUCUUGCCAGACUUAGCUUACAAGUUUGGUUAAAGAGAGACUGACAUGAGCAUAAAGGAAGGGACAUUGAAAGAGGCAGAGAUGAAGGAAGAAAUUGUAACUUACUCCUUUUAUCCCACCCAUCAAAGGAAAGACAAGUUGACAUUCCCAGGGUGGAUGGAUCCAGGCAGGACAGGAUCAGAAGUUGCAGUCUUAAUUGCACCAACUCACGCAUGUCACCAGCCGAGUAGUAUUGAUUCUGCAACAAACUGAGAAGAAACCUGGCGAUUCACAACAGAGAGCUGAGAAAUCCUAAGUCUGGAUUCCAGCUAAAUGGGAGCAGACUAAAUAGAGCGGCAGUCGGCGAACUACAUGUAGCCCAUGAACAAAAUCCGGUCCAGCACGUGUGUUUUUUUUUACGGCCCACAAAUGAGUCUGUCUUUACAGAUGAAUGUUAAAACUGGGUUGACAAGAGAGAACACUCACUUUGAACCGCAACUAAACAAAAUAUUAUCACCUUUCCCCUCAAAAAAGGUUUUUGUUCUUCUCAUUAGUAAAUUUGUAUUAUGACAAAA
rnacentral:lncRNA from 1 species